GUUUGAUCAUGGCUCAGAUUGAACGCUGGCGGCAGGCUUAACACAUGCAAGUCGAGCGGGGGAAGGUAGCUUGCUACUGGACCUAGCGGCGGACGGGUGAGUAAUGCUUAGGAAUCUGCCUAUUAGUGGGGGACAACAUCUCGAAAGGGAUGCUAAUACCGCAUACGUCCUACGGGAGAAAGCAGGGGAUCUUCGGACCUUGCGCUAAUAGAUGAGCCUAAGUCGGAUUAGCUAGUUGGUGGGGUAAAGGCCUACCAAGGCGACGAUCUGUAGCGGGUCUGAGAGGAUGAUCCGCCACACUGGGACUGAGACACGGCCCAGACUCCUACGGGAGGCAGCAGUGGGGAAUAUUGGACAAUGGGGGGAACCCUGAUCCAGCCAUGCCGCGUGUGUGAAGAAGGCCUUAUGGUUGUAAAGCACUUUAAGCGAGGAGGAGGCUACUUUAGUUAAUACCUAGAGAUAGUGGACGUUACUCGCAGAAUAAGCACCGGCUAACUCUGUGCCAGCAGCCGCGGUAAUACAGAGGGUGCGAGCGUUAAUCGGAUUUACUGGGCGUAAAGCGUGCGUAGGCGGCUUAUUAAGUCGGAUGUGAAAUCCCCGAGCUUAACUUGGGAAUUGCAUUCGAUACUGGUGAGCUAGAGUAUGGGAGAGGAUGGUAGAAUUCCAGGUGUAGCGGUGAAAUGCGUAGAGAUCUGGAGGAAUACCGAUGGCGAAGGCAGCCAUCUGGCCUAAUACUGACGCUGAGGUACGAAAGCAUGGGGAGCAAACAGGAUUAGAUACCCUGGUAGUCCAUGCCGUAAACGAUGUCUACUAGCCGUUGGGGCCUUUGAGGCUUUAGUGGCGCAGCUAACGCGAUAAGUAGACCGCCUGGGGAGUACGGUCGCAAGACUAAAACUCAAAUGAAUUGACGGGGGCCCGCACAAGCGGUGGAGCAUGUGGUUUAAUUCGAUGCAACGCGAAGAACCUUACCUGGCCUUGACAUACUAGAAACUUUCCAGAGAUGGAUUGGUGCCUUCGGGAAUCUAGAUACAGGUGCUGCAUGGCUGUCGUCAGCUCGUGUCGUGAGAUGUUGGGUUAAGUCCCGCA
rnacentral:rRNA from 1 species